GACCAAAUGGCUCAAUACAUUUGGUAGCUAGCGUACGGUACUUGUGGAUAUACAUUAGCUACGAUAUCUCAGAAAUAUGUAUGUAUUUAGCAGAAAAUUACAUUUAUGACUUCGGGUAGUUAAGUUAAAUACCGACCGUGCAACUGCGUCCUCCUUGUCAGGGGUAACGUUAUUCAGUUGCUUUAUCGGAAAGCAGCAGGAGCGUAUUGGUCUGGUUUGGCUAGCAACACAAUUUAGCUAACUGUUAACAUUUUAUUUGAAUUAACAAACAAGCUCGCUAACUUAGCCGUGUGAAACCAGUCUGAGGUAAACCUCUAGACAGUUGUGACUGCGGAGAUGUCCAAGGCUCCAGAUUCCCCUGCACGGUCCCGCUCCAGAUCAAAGUCCAGAUCCCGGUCUUACACGCGGUCUCGCUCGAGAAGCCGCUCCAGAUCCAGGAAGCACCGCUACAGUUCCAGGUCUCGCUCCCGCUCCAGAUCUCACUCUCCGUCCCACGGCAGGAACUAUCCCACCAGAGACUACCAGAACAACCAGGGUUACCAGGGUUACCAGAGAGGCUACAACCGCGGCUUCCGCAGACCCUUCUACUUCCGCGGUAGAACCCGGGGCUUCUACCCUCGCCGUGGUUACCAGAGAGGAGGGAACAGCUAUGGCUACAGAGCCAACAACUGGCGGGGGGGUGGCUACCGGGACGGGCCACACCGCGACCAGGAUCACCACGGUCCGCAUAGCCCCAGGAGAGGCCGCUCACGCUCCCGCACUCCUAGGAAACGCUCGGGCAGCCGCAGCCACUCUCGGUCUCGAUACUCUGACCGCUCGUCCUCCAGGGGUUCUCGGUGGUCUCGGGGGCGCCACAGCUCGUCUCGCUCCCGCUCCUCGUCCCCGCGGCAACGCCGCAGCAGCCCUAGCUCGGGGAAGCCCGGCUCCAAGGAUGUAAAGGACACGCCUACGCCAGCAGAGGCCAAGGGGGAGAGCGGAGGAGGGGCUGGGGAGCAGGCAGAAGGACAGGGGGGAGAGGCCAGUAGUCAUGAUAAGGAUUCUGCUGGGAAAUGGCAGGGUCUGAGUGACUAUGACACCAGCCCCAAACGCAGCAGUCCUGCUGUUGCUGCCAACCAGGGAAAAUCAGAACCCAAAGGGCCGUUGUGGAGAACCAUCGGCAGCACUGGCAGUGCUCCCUCCACCCACAGCCCACCGGGCUCCACCAAGGCCGGGCCAACCGCCUCCUUCAGCGGGUUUGGCUUCCUUGGCAAGGAGGAUCCCACCAGGGCAGACGAUAAGAGUGCCAUUUCCUCUGCUUUCAAAAAGUUCUUGGCAGAAAACAAGAGCAAAAAGCAGCAGGCGGCGGCAGAGUGGGAGAAUGGCCGGGACAGGGACCAAAGCACCACGGACGGAGACGGCAGAGAGAAAGGCAAGAGCAGGACUAGCAGUGGCCUCUUAAACAUAACAGCAGCUUCCUUCAGCUCCAAGGUYGAUAAGUCCCUGCCCUUCCUGGACAAAGCUGAAGAGGCCUUCCUCAAGUCUCAGGCUGCAGGGAGGGAGAGGGAGAGGGAGGCGGAAGAGGAGGCCAAGCCCAAAGGAGCCACCCUGACGACACGGGACGUGUUUGGGAAGUGGGAAGACGAGCCCCAUUACUACCCCCCAGGGAAGGACGAGGAGAGACUGAGAGACACGGCCGACGACGUGGUGGAAGACCUGGAGCACAUGGAAGAGGAGCUCUACCGCAGCCGCAARCAGGCCUCCAAGAAAGAAGAGAAGUCCAAGAAGAAGGAGAAGAAAGACAAGGAGAAGAGCAGUACAUCCCCAGCCAUAGUAACCGUGGCCCUUAGGGGUUCAGGUAGCAGGGAGAAGGACAGGCCCCUGGCCCUAUUCCCCGUCUCUAGGGUGGAGUCACCCCUACUCAGGCCCUCUGGAAAGAGGGAUGACUUUGAGCUUAGUAUCAACUCCUUUGACAAGAUGCCCAGCUCCUCUGGAGGUCUGACCAAGGAGCGUGGUAUGUCCAGGGAUCUGGUGCAUCCCGCUAAGAAAGAUCACGGAGAGUUCCGUUCCAUCUUCCAGCAUAUUCAGGCGGCUCAGCUCAGACGCAGCCCCUCGGAGCUGUUUGCGCAGCACAUUGUCACCAUUGUGCACUACAUCAAAGCCCAACAUUUCAGCUCUUCAAGCAUGACUUUAAGUGAGCGAUUUGCCAUGUACCAAAGAAAAGCCGCUGAGAUGGAAUUGAUGAAGCCAAGGAAGAGUCCAGAAAUCCAUAGGAGAAUCGAUGUCUCCCCCAGUGCGUUUAAGAGACACUCUCACCUGCUAGAGGAGCUGGAGGACUGCAGCUACAAGGAUCAGGGUAAAAAACCUAAAGGUGACCCAAUGGACCUGCGUCUGGAUAUAGAGCGCCGUAAAAGGUUUUCUGGGAAGGAGCCUGGGCAGCAUAAACGGGACGGGGGCAAGGGCUCCGGAGGCUCCCGAGGACCCAGCCAAGAGAGAUCCUCAGAGAAAUCUGCCAAACACCACAAGAAAUCCAAAAAAACCAAGAAGAAGCGUGAUCGCUCUCCAUCCUCCUCCUCUUCCUCCUCCUCUCCCUCUCCCUUCAGAGGAGGGUUCAGAGGUAAAGACCACAUGAUGGGGGAGGAGAUGGAGCACAUGGACCAGGGCUACAGUAAACCUCGCUUCGGGCCCCGGGACUACGGAGGCCCCAUGGAUAGGGGUCUCCCCCGGGAUUAUGAGGGCCACAUGGAGAGGGGUCCCCCCCGGGAUUACGAGGGCCACAUGGAAAGGGGCCGAGGACGUGGAGGAGGAUUUCUCCCCAGAGUGAGAGGAGGUGGAAGGGGCUGGAACAGGGGCAAUUACCAAGGAAAUAACAACAGCAACCCCCCUCCUAAUAUGAGCAACGCCCCCCCAGAGCGCCCACCAGACGAGGAGUGGGACCCAGAGUACACUCCUAAGAGCAGGAAAUAUUACUUUCAUGAUGACCGAGAGGGAGAGAAGACGUGGCUGGAGAGCCGCGGCCGAGGGGCCUUCCCCCGCAGCAGGGGACGCUUCAUCUACCGCAAGGGCGGCAGCAGCCCCAACAAGUGGACUCAUGACAAGUUCCAGGGGGAUGGGGAGGAGGGGGGUGAGCAUGGGGAGGAGCACCACACAGAGAUGGACCAUAAAGACAACAUCCAGUCCGGAGACCCCUCAGCUUCCAAGCUGUAGUAGACCCUCCUCUUCCUUCCUCCAGAGCUUUCUGUCCAUCUGUUUGAGGUCAUCUGAUUAUCUGCCGUCAUCUCUGUCAGACUGGUUUCCGAUCGUCUCCUGUGGGAUAUACUACAAAACAGGAUAAAGGAGUUGGUAAGCUAACUUGCCUACAGUAAAUAUUAUGAAAUAAAAAAGUUAUUUAUUUUUGGAGUCAAUUAGACCAUGCCCAGAUUGAAAUAGGUAUGGUCUAAUUGACUCAACAACCAAAAAUGCAUAUGUAAGUUUAGCUUUCUUAAUGAACCAGAAUAUCUGUAGUUAUUUCUGGUUGGCUAACUCAUUGAUCUUGCUUUGUAGUAAACCCCUCUGGGUCCUCUGAAAUGGUUAUGUUAUUGUAGCUACGUUGAUUUAAAGCAAAGUAACUUUCCUCAAGACAUAAAAAUGACAAAUGGAUUUGUGCCUUAAAAUUGAUAUUCAUAGUGAUAUGCAUUGCUCUAUAUACUUUUGUCGUACAGCUUUUCUGCUGUACUAGCUAAAGCAAGCCUUUAGCUAAACAGUUGUAUGGGCAGUGCUAGGUUUUUGAUGGUGUUUUGCAUGACACUUUGGUCCCAUGGGGUGGUAUGGUUAGAGUCCAAUCUCUACUGUGGGAACUGGGCUCAUACUAGAACUGGGCGACGUGGACAAAAAUCCAUAUCACGAUAAAUUGCCUGAAUUGAUGCGAGAACAAUACAUUUCUAACAAUGUGCACCACAG